UCAAACUUGGUCAUUUAGAGGAAGUAAAAGUCGUAACAAGGUUUCCGUAGGUGAACCUGCGGAAGGAUCAUUACAGAAAUUAUAACAAAGCACGCGGAGUUUAACCCUCUCCGCGUCUUUGUAUAAAAUCUAUCCUACCCCUUUGUGAACCACCGCGCGGAGCUAGUAAAAGUCUAGCCUUAAAGGCUAGACUUUGAAAGUUCGCGAUAAAUCUAUAUACCCCCACGAUUAAGUUUCAGGAUGUACUCUUGCGUAUAUAUCGCAAUAAAAAUACAACUUUCAGCAACGGAUCUCUUGGCUCUCGCAUCGAUGAAGAACGCAGC
rnacentral:misc_RNA from 1 species